rnacentral:lncRNA from 1 species
CUGGUUGUUGAUGGGAUGAUAUUUAUGUCAAGCGGGUGCUAUUUAAAAAAAAAAAAAAAUCAGUUCUCGGAAGGAUAACAGAGCCCAAGUGGGAUUUGGGUGUUGGAGUUCUUGGCCAUUUCUUUUAAAAAGGGAAAAAACCUGGGGUUAGGGAUGUGGGAAGUAUUCAGCUCACUUUUGUUCUUGAAGAUAGUCCUGAUACCAACAUAUGUAUAAUCUCUGAAAACCCAUCAAAGGGCACGUGUCUUGUGUAAGUUCCUUCUCCUCCUCCUCAGCCCACACUCUGCCUGUGCCCAGAAGUACUCAGUACAGUGUCAGCUAAAGGUGCCUGCCCAGGAGGGUGUUAGAAGAGCAGAACUUAGAGAACUACCCCAAGGUUCAGGAGGAGGGGAAGGGAGAUGGGAAAAUCCAGAGAAAAUGAAGUUGCGAAGGAACAGUGGUAAUCUGCGUAAGACAGUCAGGCUGACAGUAGCAGAUCUGGGUCUGGAUCCUGAGACUUCCUGGUCCAGUUCCUAGCUUGUUCCCCUUUCCAGGUAACUCACUCCUAGGUUUCUCUCCAGAGUGCUCUCCUGAGUGCCCCUGGGAUCAGAGCCAGAGACCCCACAGGACAGACCUGGCUGUCUUUGCCUCUUGCCUUAUACAGACCCAGGCAUCCCUCUUUGAAUAUGGUUUUCCUUUAAACCACCCAGAGUCCCUGCCUCAGAGUCCUGGAGAAGAGACACCUUUUUCCAGGGACCUAUUCUCUGGAAAGAGUUAAUGACCUCAAACCAAAGAUGAAAGCUGGCAGCGAACACUGAGAUCAUGUUGUUAUAUUUCUCAUCGGUCAAGGAUGAAAAAAGGACACUGACUGGCUGAUGGGACCUGACAAUAUCCACUCUCCUUUUAGGGUCAGUCGGGAGUUGGGGAGAUACAGAGGGAAUAGAAAGUACAAACUCUUCCCCUAAGUAGUGUAUGGUCUAAAACUCCAGUUCCCUAACACAAAUGAUAACCGAAGACCCAGGAAAUGCAAAUAGAGACUGAAUGAAAAAACUGGAAAUGACAACAUUUUUGUCGGGGAAUAAAACUGUAUCUGGUUCCGCAAACAAACAGACAAUCCUUCCCUAGACUUGCUUCUAAGUCACUUUAGAGAAUAUAGUUGUUGCUCCCGGAGGUGCCCUUGACAAUGUCAACCCUCAGAGACAGUACUUAGGGAACCCGGGAGCAUCUGAUCAGGUGAACAAUUUUGCCCAUCUCCGUUUUUGCACAGGCAGGCUUGGAUCUAGUUCCACUCGUUUCUCCAACCCUUGCCAAAUCAUGCCUCCUUCCAGCUCUACUUUAUGACAUGUGCUUCAAGGAAAGGUUGGGGGAACAGUCCUCAAAGGAUUAGAAAACAGACCGUGAUGUAAAAAGACAACUUCCUGAAAGUCUUUUUUGUUUGGUUGGUUUGAGUUUUGACUUGUGAAGAAUACUUUGGAUCGUUCAGGGUAUAAAUGUAUCAGGGAAGGAGUAGAGAGAAUGCGUGUUGAAUCCCAAGUGCCUACUGUUGUGGCUGGCAAAGAGAACCCAUCAGGUGCCCAGGGAGAAAAUGGGACAAGGAAGUGGCCAAAGGAAUCAAGGUGUAUUUCAGGAAGAUGGUAGCAUGGAGAGGGAGCCUAUAUUUUUUCCUCUGUCCAUCCUAUUCUGUGCAUCACCGGCACGUUGGAUUCUCUGUAUAUCCCAAGGACAUGGCUCGAAUUGGUAUCUGCAUUUGGAAAUAUAAAUAUAUAUCUACAUUGAGUAUAGACAGUAUUCUAGGCAUGUCCUAGAAUGCAACCAUCAAAAUAAUCUUAGAAUGUAAGUGUGAUUGCUCCCAUUUUACAGGUAAGGAAACUGAGGCUCAGGUUGGUUUCAGCCUCAUCAGCCACAAGAAUUUGCUAAUAAAUCUGUAAUGUUAGGCAUAUUCUUAUAAGUGCCUGAUCUCCUCCAGGGAGGUCAGAAUAGAUGUCAGGAAAAGAGCUAUGCUGUGUUGAGGUCCCCGGGGCUCUCUCUUGAGCUGCACCCCCUGUAGUGAGGAGAUUUGUUAGUGCCCUACCCCUCGUUGUCUGGUUUGGGGUGUGUUGAGAACUCCCGGGAUUCCCACCUCUGUUCAUGGUCCCUUCUGAGACUUGAAUGCUUUCUGUGUCUCUCCCCGGUACGCUUGCACUCAGCACUUACUUUUUCGGUUCCUGGGGAGUUAUUUUCUCUACCUAGCAUGUGCCUAAUCUUAAAUAUCCUCUUCCUAAUCUCUGUUCUUUUUCUUAGUAGACAUCAGGGAUAAUUCCAUUAAACAUAUGCAAAUAAUAUGCUCUCACACUCGCGUGGGUGCACGCGCGCACACACACACACACACACACACACACACACACACAUACACACACACACACACUGCCUUGUGGCCCCUAUUAAAGCUCUCCUAAACCUAGUGGCCCAUUUUCAGAAAGGGCAUGCUCUUUGCAAGUGACUGUCCCUUCUGUUGGUUGUCUUUCCCAAGCAGACAAUGAGGUUCAGAGGUGUGAUGGGAUAGGAAAUCAAGUUUUUGCAUAAAUAAUCCAGAGCUUUUGUGGUCAGUGUGACUGAGGGUCAGCCAUUAAGGUUUUUUUUUUUUUUUUUUUUUCCGUCCCUUUCUUGGUCUGUUCUAUUUUUUCAGAUCGUCUUAGAGAUACUUUCUUGGUCAGUGACAUCAAGAUAACUAUUGAAUGCUUGUUUGGUUUGUCUCAUUCAAGAGCGUCAAAUUGGAAUAUUUCCACCAGGCUUUCGAGAAGCCCAAAAUGCAUCCUGCGUAAUGCAUCAUGUAGGUGAUGCCCCUGAGGCAGUAAUGCAUUCCUUUCUUAAACCUGCACCCCCACACACACCAUGUUCUAAGCCACACCCCUCUCUCCUGGCAUUUUACUUACCGUGAGGUGGGGCACAUUGGAGCCAUUUUAUAGAUGAGGAAACUGAGUGAGGUUUGAAGGAAUGUUUUUUUCUGGGAGGUUCUGUGAAUCAGUCCUUCUGGAGGGUCAUUUAAGCUAUUGUUGUCCUAGUCCCUGAGAAAUUCUCUAGCCCUUUCCAUCUUUCAAGCUGGCAGUAAAAAGUGUCUUAAGACAGAAGGGUUAUCAUUAUUCAGUAGGUAGUUGAGAUCCUGUUGUGGGGUCUACAAGUGCAUGAAAACACUCUCCCAGGGAUGUUGAGCUUUGCAGAAACUGGAACACUCAAAAGAACAAUUUGGCCAGUGGCAUCUCUUCACUGGGGCUGUAUUUCAAAGCACACAACACUCCAGGGGAGCAAGAACUAAAUUGUUGAAAACGGAGUCAUUUCUCAGAUUAAUGUCCUCCAAUCGGGUGUCAGCGGCAUUUGAAAGCAAACAAGACAACACUAAGACGAUCACUCAUGAAUCCCUCUUAUGUACCUCAUUCACAAAACAGUAAGUUUUCAUUUUUGCAAUUCUGAGAACAUUCGUCAUUAGCAGUAGCCCUGGGUCAUAACCUCUUCCAGUUAAUUCUCUCUUACACCUUUGGGAAGGAUAUAAGAUGAGCCUUCAAAAGGAUAUUAAUAUAACACGUAGCCAAUACCACAGCUGCCUUUUAAAUUAAUAAGGUUAAUUGUUCUCCAGCAAACAUAAGUUUGUCUUUGGCAUUUUAAAUGCUUCUCAUUGAUCUGACAUUUUGCUGUUUCAAGCUUUUAAAGGGCUCAAAUCAAAGACUAUUGAUAGUUGAGCAAAUAGUGAAGGUCCAGAAAUAUAAAAACAUCGUCAGGUUUUCCAUGAAAAACAAUCAUAGCCUUUUGAAUUCGAUUGAGGUUUUUACAUUAGCCAUCUAAGGCUUACUGAAUCAUUUCUCUUCUCAGUUAAGCUAGUUCAAAUAAAUGAACAGUAUUGACGUUUCAAACCUUUUUUUUUUUUUAAGUCUUUAGUUUAUUAGGUUUGCAGACGCAGCUCUGGGGCCAUGACCACUAAGUAAAUGUUCCAGGUUAGAAAUUAGAGAUUCGGAUGACUAUUGGGGGUCAAAUUCAGGUGAUCAUCUUUGAAAAAUCCCGAUGGAUUUGGGAAGAUGAAAGUGGCUCUUGUUUCUCAAAUUUUUCCCUAGGAAAAGAUGGCAAUUACCUAUUUUUUUUUCCAAUUAAGAGAUAAGGUCAAGAAUAACAUUUUCAUAGAAAAUUCAGAAAAGCUACUUGAUGCAACUAAUUACAUGGCUCGAUGUGGCUCAGAUGCGUUCCAAGCCCGAGGGUCCCCAAAGAUUUCUUUAUCAGUUAUUUUUAACUAUGAAUCUUAAUCUUGUUCAUUCCCUUGCUAAAACAGAUUUAAAAGCAUAGACUUUCUGAAUUAUUUAGUCCAGAUAAUUCAAUGCAAUUUAUCACAAUAGAAUGUUUGUGCAUAUGUUUACAUAUAGUAUAUAUAUUCCAAGCUGAAUAUUCAGAAAGAAUCAGGUGAGUUCAUUGGUGGCUUUGAAUAAGAAACAGAUCCUAAAAGAUCGUAAACAAUGGCCUUCUCAGACAGAAACAGAGGGUAAACUAUUCAUCUUUUCACUUGUGUUCGAAGACGCGUCGCAUAACACACAAGCUGGUCAUUACCAACAAGAAAGUAAUUGCAUGAAGCAGCUUUAGAGGUCCAUGUCUGAGUUCAUUUUUAACUCAACGUGGAUGGGAUUGAACUUCGUAUGCAGAGGGUUUCCGUUCACAGCUACAUUCAAACACAGUCGAAAACCCACAUCAGAACUGGCUUGAUCUCUUGUAUGGUGGAGCCCAAAGCAAGCUGUGUUCUCUACUCAGUGGUUUUCAUUUGGGAAUAAGAUGUUCACUUACCAACCGCAACAGUUUAUACCUGUCAUGUUUUAAUCCACUGCAUGAGGAAGUGCUAAUAACUGUAUUAAAUAUUUCCAAGCAUAGCUACAAAAUUACACGUUUGCUUAACACCUUUCUAUGAUAGAGGAAGUAUAUACUAUGGUUGUCUUCUUGUAGUAUGUCUUUUCUUUUUGUUCAACGUGUUAUCAACUGUUUUAAGGAAUGGGGUUUGAAAUGUGUGUGCAAACUGAUAUGUACAUAACUCCCGAGGCAACAAAAGUGCCCAGUCAUACGGUGUAAAAAUGUAAAUACAGGAAAAUUUCAUUUUUCUAAUAAAGAUAAUUUCUGCCAAUUGAUAUGAAAAUGAG